rnacentral:rRNA from 1 species
UAACACAUGCAAGUCGAGCGGAAACGAAGGUAGCUUGCUACCAGACGUCGAGCGGCGGACGGGUGAGUAAUGCUUAGGAAUCUACCGAGUAGUGGGGGAUAGCCAUUGGAAACGAUGAUUAAUACCGCAUAUAUCCUACGGGGGAAAGCAGGGGACCUUCGGGCCUUGCGCUAUUCGAUGAGCCUGAGUGAGAUUAGCUAGUUGGUGGGGUAAAGGCCUACCAAGGCGACGAUCUCUAGCUGGUCUGAGAGGAUGAUCAGCCACACUGGGACUGAGACACGGCCCAGACUCCUACGGGAGGCAGCAGUGGGAAAUAUUGCACAAUGGACGAAAGUCUGAUGCAGCCAUGCCGCGUGUGUGAAGAAGGCCUUCGGGUUGUAAAGCACUUUCAGCGAGGAGGAAAGGUCAGUAAGUAAUAUUUGCUGGCUGUGACGUUACUCGCAGAAGAAGCACCGGCUAAUUUAGUGCCAGCAGCCGCGGUAAUACUAAAGGUGCAAGCGUUAAUCGGAAUUACUGGGCGUAAAGCGCGCGUAGGUGGUUUGUUAAGUUGGAUGUGAAAGCCCAGGGCUCAACCUUGGAACUGCAUUCAAAACUGACUCACUAGAGUACGAGAGAGGUUAGUGGAAUUUCCUGUGUAGCGGUGAAAUGCGUAGAGAUGGGAAGGAACACCAGUGGCGAAGCGACUGACUGGCUCGAUACUG